GUCCACGCCGUAAACGAUGGAUACUAGCUGUUGGGUGCAAACUCAGUGGCUAAGCGAAAGUGAUAAGUAUCCCACCUGGGGAGUACGUUCGCAAGAAUGAAACUCAAAGGAAUUGACGGGGGCCCGCACAAGCGGUGGAGCAUGUGGUUUAAUUCGAUGAUACGCGAGGAACCUUACCAAGGCUUAAAUGUAGAUUGACCGGUUUUGGAAACAGAUCUUUCGCAAGACAAUUUACAAGGUGCUGCAUGGUUGUCGU
rnacentral:rRNA from 1 species